UGUAGUCCUUCAUGUAUUAAUUACUCCAGUACUCUUGUAUACAUUAUUUUUUAUCUUCCUUGUAUACAUGAGGGAACUGACACUCUGAAAGGUGAAAUAACUUGCUUAAAUUCACAUAGUAAGUAGCAGUGCCGGAUUCUGAAACCAAGUUGAUUCACCAGCUUCAAAGCCCAUAGAUUUACCCACCACAUUCUUAUAAAUCAUUAAUGAAAACACUCAUUAGAAAAUGGGCAGGAGAUGGUCACAUUCACUGGACACCGAGUCUGGCUCAAGGUGAUGAGUGUGGGAAGGUGUGUGGGGAGGCUUUCUUUCUACUGCAAAGAAGCGAGUCUGAGGGCUGGCACCAACCAGCAAUGACUCCGCUUCCACUUCCGGAGAGCCGGGGAGACGAUUCCGGUUCUCGGAUCCCCCUUCUUGGUCACCUGCAAGUCCCGGCUCGCUCCACCUAUAGAAGGAGAAGCCAUCUCAGUAUGAUCUUUGUGAACAUAAUCGACCUUUAAUGACUUCUGAAAGGAAUAGAGUUUCCUUGGUGAGCCUCAGAGAGAGUUGUGCCACGUGAUGCGGAGAAUUUUGCAUGUAUAACCGUACCAGGUUGUUGGUGUGGAGCAAAGGGAGGGCAGACAUCCUUCGUGGAGUGUUUCAGUAGAAAGUGUCACAGCUAGGUCCAUUCAUCCAGAAGGCUCAUCCCUGUGAGAAGUGUGUUCUGGUCAUAAGGGACAUUCUGUACCUGGCUGAUCACCAAGGAACGCUGUCUGGGCAGAAAUGGUACACUUGUGAGGCAUGUGGGAAACAAUUCUGGUUUAGUGCAAACGUGCACCAGGCACUAGAAGGAACACAAUGGAAUGGAGAUGUGGACAACGCUUUCUCUGAGAAAGGCUGCAGAUUUUAAGUGUCAGGAAGGCACUUCACCUGUGGGAAAGUUGGGAAGGAUUUUCUUGGCAACUGUGCCUUCUCCAACACAGGCUACUCACAACUGGAUUGAAGUCACACAGCAGCACCAAAUGUAGGGAGGCCUUUCACAGCAGAAAAAGUCAUUACAAGUGCAGUGAACCAGGAAAGCUUUCGGGUACAAAUACAAACUAGCUCAACAUCAGGGAAUUCACAAUGGAGAAAAGGCCUUAGGAGUGUGGCAAAUGUGGGAAAUUAUUUAGCCAAAACUCCACUCUCAUUUGUCACUGGAUAAUCAUGCUGGAGAAAGACUUAUGAGUAUGUUGAAUGUGGAGAAUUUCUUUAGCCAAAGCUCUGGCUUCAUUGAACACUAGAGAAUUCACACUAGAGUUAGGCCUCAUGUGUAUGGUGAAUAUAGGAUAUCCUUUAGCCAGAGCUCCAUCCUUAGUUAAUCACAGAGAGUUCACACUGGAGCAAAGCCCUAUGAAUGUGUAAAUAUGGGAAAUCCCUUCAACAAAGUCCUGGACUUAUUCAACACUGGAGAAUCCACACUGGAGAAAGGCUUCCAUAUUCAGUAUAACAACUCGGGGGGAAAACCUCUGUGAAUGUAAAGGAGGCAUCAAAUCCCAUACAUCUGAACAUCCACAGCGGAGAAGUUCCCCAAAAAUUCCAGAGACAGAGUCUCACUAUGUUGCCCAUGCCUGGUCUCUAACUCUAAGCCUCAGGACCAUCCUCUCACCUCAGCUUCCCAAAGCACUGAGAUUACAAGCAUGAGCCAGUGCAUCCAGUGAUUAUCACAUCUUUGGAAGAAAAGCUUACUUUACAAUAAGGAAUCUGAGACCCAGAGUUGAAGCAAAUUGCCCAAGGUUACACAGCUGGUCAGUAGCAGACACAAGAUCCAAACCCAGUUUGUCUGAAUCCAAUGCUGAUGCCCUUGUGCCUCACUCACCCACUGCCAAACUUCUUCCUGUUCUUCCACUUGUCACUAUCCUUGACUCAUUGCACUUUGACCUCAAUCAAUCUUCUUGUCUUUUCUUAAAAGAAAAACAUAUUUGCUAUCUAAUCUUUUCAACUACUAUCCAGUCCAUUUUUCUUUCCAUGUAACCUUGGUCUUCAGUCCAUGACAAUAUCUGUCUUCUCACAGGUCAUUUUCUGCUUUAAUUCCAGCUGUUCAGUUUUUGCGCCUUCUAAAUUUACUCACACUAAAUAUUGUCCUGAAAAAUUCAAACUAUUUCUCCAUCCUUUAUUCCCUGGUGCUCACCUGAGCACUUUGCAUUAUUAACUACUUCUUUCUUCUUGAAACUACUUCUCCCACAAAAACUGCAACCCUGUGUUCUCCCAACAUGUUCCCGUGUUACCCCAGCAGUUCCUUUUCUGUCUUUUUUGCCAGUUCCUUCAUCAGAAACUUCUAUGUUCUAUGUUCUGUGCAGGCCAUUAGAGGAGCUGAAGUUUUGUUCGGUUCCUUGUUUUCUUUUUGUCUUCUACUAUUAUUUCCUUCCAAUAUGACCCCUCAGUUUACUCUUCAUAUUACAAUUUUAAUUAUCAUCCUUAAACAUCUAUCUUCCUGUCUUCCUUUCUCAACAUUUUGUCAAGACCUAAUUUCAAAUUAAUGUCAAAGACAUUUGCUUAGCAGCUUACCAACAACACGACAAGACACAUUUUACACAGUCUCCUCAUACACUCCUUCCCUGCCCAGCCAGCCACCUUUCUCAGUGUCUCCCUUGGAAACAGGCAAAAAAGAUAUAAAAAUGA